CGGACGGGUGAGUAACGCGUGGGUAACCUGCCUCAUACAGGGGGAUAACGGUUAGAAAUGACUGCUAAUACCGCAUAAGCGCACAGUACCGCAUGGUACGGUGUGAAAAACUCCGGUGGUAUGAGAUGGACCCGCGUCUGAUUAGCUAGUUGGUGAGGUAAUGGCCCACCAAGGCGACGAUCAGUAGCCGACCUGAGAGGGUGACCGGCCACAUUGGGACUGAGACACGGCCCAG
rnacentral:rRNA from 1 species